UCUCUCUCUCUCUCUCUAUAUAUAUAUAUAUAUAUAUAUAUAUAAUUUUUUUUUUUUUUUUUUAAAUUAAUGUUGGCCAAAGGGGGCACAUUUCAAUUUCUUACACACACUUGUUAUUUCAUAUGUUGACCAGAGGGGGAACACUUUUAAAACCAACAGUCAAUUUGAAAAAUCCCUCCUUUUUGGGACCACCCUCAUUUUAAUAGAUUUCACCAGCAGGGGCGCACGUGAGAUCUGUUUUUUGUAACGUGCUUAAGGUCGAUGACAAAGGAGUCAGGGGCCACAGAUGACAAAGGAGUCAGGGGCCACAGAUGACAAAGGAGUCAGGGGCCACAGAUGACAAAGGAGUCAGGGGCCACAGAUGACAAAGGAGUCAGGGGCCACAGAUGACAAAGGAGUCAGGGGCCACAGAUGACAAAGGAGUCAGGGGCCACAGAUGACAAAGGAGUCAGGGGCCACAGAUGACAAAGGAGUCAGGGGCCACAGAUGACAAAGGAGUCAGGGGCCACAGAUGACAAAGGAGUCAGGGGCCACAGAUGACAAAUGUGUCAGGGGCCACAGAUGACAAAUGAGUCAGGGGCCACAUAUGACAAAUGUGUCAGGGGCCACAGAUGACAAAUGUGUCAGGGGCCACAGAUGACAAAUGUGUCAGGGGCCACAGAUGACAAAUGUGUCAGGGGCCACAGAUGACAAAGGAGUCAGGGACCACAGAUGACAAAUGAGUCAGGGACCACAGAUGACAAAUGAGUCAGGGGCCACAUAUGACAAAUGUGUCAGGGGCCACAGAUGACAAAGGAGUCAGGGGCCACAUAUGACAAAGGAGUCAGGGGCCACAGAUGACAAAUGUGUCAGGGGCAAAUGAGUCAGGGGCCACAUAUGACAAAUGAGUCAGGGGCCACAGAUGACAAAUGUGUCAGGGGCCACAGAUGACAAAUGUGUCAGGGGCCACAGAUGACAAAGGAGUCAGGGACCACAGAUGACAAAUGAGUCAGGGGCCACAUAUGACAAAUGUGUCAGGGGCCACAGAUGACAAAGGAGUCAGGGGCCACAUAUGACAAAGGAGUCAGGGGCCACAGAUGACAAAUGUGUCAGGGGCAAAUGAGUCAGGGGCCACAUAUGACAAAUGUGUCAGGGGCCACAGAUGACAAAGGAGUCAGGGGCCACAUAUGACAAAGGAGUCAGGGACCACAGAUGACAAAGGAGUCAGGGGCCACAGAUGACAAAUGUGUCAGGGGCCACAGAUGACAAAGGCGUCAGGGGCCACAGAUGACAAAGGAGUCAGGGGCCACAGAUGACAAAGGAGUCAGGGGCCACAGAUGGCCCCUGUGCCGCACAUUAACAGUUAGCUGUAGCAGCUAAGUGUUAAUGUCCAGUAUAGUCUUAGUAGUGUGGUGUAUGUGUUCAUCCUAUAUGCUUGUCUUACGUCACCACAGGAAGUGCUCAAAUCAGAUGUUCACCUGGCGGGGAUGAAUAGGGAAGUCCUUCUUUAUCUGGUCUGAUCAUAUAUUGCUGCCUUUGCACCUGGCGGGGAUGAAUAGGGAAGUCCUUCUUUAUCUGGUCUGAUCAUAUAUUGCUGCCUUUGCACCUGGCGGGGAUGAAUAGGGAAGUCCUUCUUUAGCUGCCAUCUGGUCUGAUCAUAUAUUGCUGCCUUUGCACCUGUCAAUGUUUACUUUUUUAUGCACAUUCAAUCAACAACAAAUCCUGACUUUGGAGCAAUGUUCACAGACUCUAGUAUUUGGCUCUCUAUUAGAUGCAAUGCUAUUGGGAGCAUGAUUUAUGACAUGACUUGUUCACACCUCCUCAUAUGGAAGCUACUUUUCCUUGUUGAUGUCUCAAGAAGGCUAGAAAUACAAGAACACACACACAACUAGCACUUUGAGCACAAUGCUAGCGGCCUCCUGGACAGCAGGGUAAGAGUGGAUCUUCUACGCGACACUCGCCGGCAGCCCAAAAGCACAAAAACAUGCUGGGAGGGGGCGUGGCCUGAGGACUGAAACUACAAGGGGGCGGGGUCGUCAAUCUUUGCGAGAAGACGACCACAUGGUGUGAAUGUCCAAAGCGCCUUACAAAACCACACGACUGCUUCUUUUUCUAUGCUUUCAAAGAGAAACCCCGCCCCCGGAGCCGCACAGACCCCGCCCCCUCCACUAUGCCUUACUGGAGAUGAUUGCCCUUCUGUCAUGGCCGUCCAAGUGACAUCAUCAAACAUCACAUGACACCCGCCUCGCAACGUGCUGACUGAACAAAUGUUGCCCUUUUUCUAGACUUUGGCGGAGAAGUCAAAACAAAAAGCAAAAGGCUGCCGAUCAGAACGAUACCAUGGAUGAUACAGAAUGAUACCAUGGAUGAUACAUAAUGAUACCGCGGAUGAUACAGAACGAUGACAUGGAUGAUACAGAAUGAUACCAUCAGCGACGCGGCUGAAACGAUCAUUAGAAUGUUGUCAUUUUACAAAAGUAAACUUGUGGUUUAAAUGUGUCAAUUACCAGGGUAAAUAAUGUGUCAAUUACCAGGGUAAAUAAAAACAUCUCCAGGCUUGAAAUGACGUGAAAGUAAAGUGAAGGGGAACAAAAAGAGACAUUUGUCAUGUAUGACAACAAUAUCAUAGGAACAAACAACAACAACAGUAUAGUGUAUGAUUUUGUACAAGACACAAGUUGGACUUUUACAGUAAUAAAAUAGAAUUAUCAGGAAAAGAAUAGCCGAAUGUUUGUAUAAUGUCAAUUGAACCUUUCAUAACCAGAAGAAAGUAAUAAUGAAUGAAAGUGUGUAAAUUCCAUGACGUUCCCCCACAGUGAUGCUCCUGGUUUGAAUUGAUCCUGGUAAUUGAUCCUGGUAAUUGUGCAUUUGUUCUGGGCUUCUUUCAAAUGUUUAUUGGACAACAGAAUCUGGUUCCACGCGGCGCUGAUGGUCUUCUGUCUUCAGUCCCAGAUUGAGGCUGAUCACAUUGAUCAGUUUUGGAGAAGAUUUCAAAAGAACGACUGGAUGGAAAAACGUUGCCGUGUUUUCCACUAAAAAUGUGUUUUUUUUUCUGGGUAUGGCGGUUUAGUUUGUUGGGUGGUGCGUUCGUGGACUGAUCACUGAGGCGUUCAUUUGCAGAAGUAGCGUUGCACAAAGAGCGUCAAGAUUUGGUGUAGAAGUGCUGCUGUUUUUUUGGCGUAAUGUCGGUGAAGACGUGUACAUUUAGCUGGUGAUGUUCUCUUCUUGUACCAUUUCCACCACUUCCACCUCUAUGUCUUUUACAAAGACCAUUGGCGGAGUACUGUAAUAUCUAUCCUUGUUUGCUUCUGCUUUUCUUUUUGUAUUUUUAAUACAAUAAUUGUACAUAUUGGUUAUAUUUUUGUUGAAAUGUAUUAUUGUUUAUGCCUCAACAUCCAGUUUGUAUGAAAAGCUGGGAAUCAAUAAAUACCGCAUACAGAA